rnacentral:rRNA from 1 species
GUAUGUCCCGAGCGUUAUCCGGAUUUAUUGGGCGUAAAGCGAGCGCAGACGGUUAAUUAAGUCUGAUGUGAAAGCCCGGAGCUCAACUCCGGAAAGGCAUUGGAAACUGGUUAACUUGAGUGCAGUAGAGGUAAGUGGAACUCCAUGUGUAGCGGUGGAAUGCGUAGAUAUAUGGAAGAACACCAGCGGCGAAGGCGGCUUACUGGACUGUAACUGACGUUGAGGCUCGAAAGUGUGGGUAGCAAACAGGAUUAGAUACCCUGGUAGUCCACACCGUAAACGAUGAACACUAGGUGUUAGGAGGUUUCCGCCUCUUAGUGCCGAAGCUAACGCAUUAAGUGUUCCGCCUGGGGAGUACGACCGCAAGGUUGAA